UAGUAUUACUUUUCCAAUUCCUGCUAUAGAAGUGAAUGGGAUCCAAAGACAUUUAUGCAGGUUUGUAACAACAUGAGGGUGAGUAAAUGAUGACAGAGUUUUCAUUUUUGGGUGAACUAUUUAACCUUUUACAGCUUAGCAGAAAAAUGUUAUGUGACCUUUAAGAAUAGGAUAAAGUACAUCUUUAACAAAAGCAAAGAUUAAAAAACAAAUUGUAGAAUAAAUAGAAAGUGCUACACAAGUGUAAAACAAUACAAAAUCGUCCCACUAUCACAUGCAGAUGUGUCACUUUGCAAUGGGGCAAUGAUGAAUAGUACACAGAACAACCAAAUAAGUUUUUACGAUUUAUAAACAAUUUAAAGAUAUUUUAAAGUGUUAUGUACUGUUCUAAUUCCAGAGAUGUUUAUUUAUGUAAAUGGUGUGAGGCUUUACCAUGUAUAUAAUAGGCCAAUGGCUAUGCUGUGCACGCGAAACAUGUCCUGCCCCUUUAAAUCACGAAGGGAGUUACCAUGGAAACUGAAGGAGCACGAGGACAGCUAGCUCCGUCUCCCGCGGUUUCUUCGCUGUUUUCAAGAGUGACAAAAACCCUCUAUAAUAGAAGAGAAGCUCAAGAUUUCAACAUUUUCUGAAGGGAGUUGCAGACAGUUGUAGAAAACUGCUUUUCAAAUUUUCCACAUUUAUCACAGUUAUUUUAAGAUGUUGACAUCUAAACAUUGAAUGUUAUGUUUGUAGAUUUGUCCAUGCUAAUGGCCAAGCAGUAGGGUUGGAACAGACCUGUCAGAAAACAUCUCUGAACCAUAUGACUAAUUUCAAAACAAUUUAUUCUUGAGAGGAGGCACCACAGUUAAAGACAGUGUUUUGAAGAAUUUUGAACUUCCUGCUCACAAACUACAUACUUCUCCAGUUAGUCUGACAGGCUAUCAAUGAGAAUGCGGCAUUACAGGACACCACUGAAAACUAUACCACUAAAAACUGAUUAUUGCUGCAGUCAGAAGAAACAGAUUAACAGCAACUGUCUGCUUGAGACCAAGAGAUUAAACACUGGGUUAAGACAUGGUUGCAGCUUGCCACAGACAGAGAUGAAGCUCGUUGGGCAAAAGAGAAGAUUUAAAGGCAUAGCUCACCCAAAAAUGGAAACUCAUUUACUUACCAUCAAGAUGUUUCAAACUCUAUCAAAUGUAUUUGUUCAGUUACUGACUGUUAUAAAUUAUACAGGUUUGGAACAACCUUUGGGUGAGCAAAAUUACAGUUUUAAUUUUAAUUAGUGAACUAUCCCUAUUGUGAGUUUUAUAAGUUUAUUAAGAAAUGUUGAGUAUUACAUCAGAGUUUUGUAUGUAAGGAGAUGGUAGUUGUACGUUUGUGUGUUAAUAUAGAUGGUUUCAGUGGCAACAACAUAAAUCACUUUCAUGGCCCAAACUUAACUUCGGGUAGACCUCCACAUAGAUUCAAUAACAACCGAGUAUCUCUGGAGCAGUUUUUUUUUCUGAUAACAAACAAAAUAAAUAACCAGUAAAUAGCCUUAGAUCAAAUCAUAGCUAAAGCAUUUCAACCAUUACAUUGAUCUAAUGUUACUGGGUAAAAUUAAGCUUUACAAUUUUAGCUACAGAUCUUUGAAAAUGUUUGUACGGUAUACUGUCCAUUUCCAGAAAGGUAAUAAAAACAGCGUGCACAGUGACGCUGCUGACGUGUUAUCCUCAGACAUGUUUGUGAAGAUUGUUUUGUUUAUAGCGUGCGUCUCCCUCAGACUGUAAAAAAAGCUUGGGAACAAGAAAAAGCUUGGGCAAACAAGAUAACAUGUCAGCAGCGUCACUCCAGUGUUGUGCACGAGGUUCACAACAGACCUGGAAGAGAAGACGAUGCUGAAUAAAGUCAUAAUUUCUGUUAUUUUUGGACCAAAAUUUAUUUUCGAUGCUUCAACACAUUCUAACUGACCCACUGAUAUCACAUGGACUACUUUGAUGAUGUACAGUAUAUAUUUGAUCGUGUAUACACAUAUCUAAGACAUCUUAAACUGUUUCCGAAGAUGAACGGAGGUGUUACGGGUUUGGAAUGACAUGAGGGUCAUUAAUUACAUAAUUUUCAUUUUGGAUGAAAUAACCCUUUAAGUUUGGCCAGGUGUGUAACUGUGGCAACGCACAUGCAUCUAUGGGUUCCAGUAUAUCUUACUAUAUAACAUAUUAAUUUAACUAACAUGUUUGACAAAUAUAAUUGUUUAUUUA